AUUGAACGCUGGCGGCAGGCCUAACACAUGCAAGUCGAGCGGUAGCACAGGAGAGCUUGCUCUCUGGGUGACGAGCGGCGGACGGGUGAGUAAUGUCUGGGAAACUGCCUGAUGGAGGGGGAUAACUACUGGAAACGGUAGCUAAUACCGCAUAACGUCUUCGGACCAAAGUGGGGGACCUUCGGGCCUCACGCCAUCAGAUGUGCCCAGAUGGGAUUAGCUAGUAGGUGGGGUAAUGGCUCACCUAGGCGACGAUCCCUAGCUGGUCUGAGAGGAUGACCAGCCACACUGGAGCUGAGACACGGUCCAGACUCCUACGGGAGGCAGCAGUGGGGAAUAUUGCACAAUGGGCGCAAGCCUGAUGCAGCCAUGCCGCGUGUGUGAAGAAGGCCUUCGGGUUGUAAAGCACUUUCAGCGAGGAGGAAGGGUGGUGUGUUAAUAGCGCAUCACAUUGACGUUACUCGCAGAAGAAGCACCGGCUAACUCCGUGCCAGCAGCCGCGGUAAUACGGAGGGUGCAAGCGUUAAUCGGAAUUACUGGGCGUAAAGCGCACGCAGGCGGUUUGUUAAGUCAGAUGUGAAAUCCCCGCGCUUAACGUGGGAACUGCAUUUGAAACUGG
rnacentral:rRNA from 1 species